GGUGAUUAGCUCAGCUGGGAGAGCACCUCCCUUACAAGGAGGGGGUCGGCGGUUCGAUCGUUUUAACA
rnacentral:tRNA from 1 species